GGUUUUCUUCUUUUUCAGCUCUGACCAUCUGAGGGCGCCAGAGGCUGUUUCCUUGUCCUUGGUGGGUGUGUCAGCAGGCUCCGCGGUACGCACCUGGCUCAAAUCGUCAUCUAGAGGAGUAUUUAAGCGGCAGGCUCCCGCUCUUCACCGCCAGAGUGUUUUACCUAUUGUGGACAUCUUCAAGUUUUCCCCGGAGAACUCCUGUUGUCGAGCCUAGAGGGUAGUCCCCUCACGACGCUGGGAGCGAGACUCACCGGGAACUGGAGUCCUCCCACAUCCCUCUGUUUAAGAGCCCGCUGUGCGCCUCCGGCUGGAGUCCGCCCCGAAGACUCCUGGUCUCUCACUCUCACGAGUCGUUCCCUUCCUCGUCCCUCUCCGAGUCAGCCUCUACGCCUAGCCGCAACCUGGUACCGGAACCUUCCCCCAACCAGAAUUCUUUAUCACAACCGUGCCAGUCCUUCCACUGCAGCUUCCCGACUGUGGAUGUUUUGAACUUUAUUGUCAAUAAACAUCUAAAGUUUCA